rnacentral:rRNA from 1 species
UGGGGAAUAUUGCACAAUGGGCGAAAGCCUGAUGCAGCAACGCCGCGCGAGUGAUGAAGGCCUUCGGGUUGUAAAGCUCUGUCUUUUGGGACGAUAAUGACGGUACCAAAGGAGGAAGCCACGGCUAACUACGUGCCAGCAGCCGCGGUAAUACGUAGGUGGCAAGCGUUGUCCGGAUUUACUGGGCGUAAAGGAUGCGUAGGCGGAUUUUUAAGUGAGAUGUGAAAACCCUAAGCUUAACUUGGGGACUGCAUUUCAUACUGGAAAUCUAGAGUGCGGGAGAGGAGAAUGGAAUUCCUAGUGUAGCGGUGAAAUGCGUAGAGAUUAGGAAGAACACCAGUGGCGAAGGCGAUUCUCUGGACCGUAACUGACGCUGAGGCAUGAAAGCGUGGGUAGCAAACAGGAUUAGAUACCCUGGUAGUCCACGCCGUAAACGAUGAGUACUAGGUGUAGGAGGUAUCGACCCCUUCUGUGCCGCAGUUAACACAAUAAGUACUCCGCCUGGGAAGUACGAUCGCAAGAUUAAAAACUUUAAAGGAAUUUGACGGGGGUCAUAGCUGUUUU